rnacentral:rRNA from 1 species
UCGGGAUAAGCCUGGGAAACUGGGUCUAAUACCGGAUAGGACGAUGGUUUGGAUGCCAUUGUGGAAAGUUUUUCGGUGUGGGAUGAGCUCGCGGCCUAUCAGCUUGUUGGUGGGGUAAUGGCCUACCAAGGCGUCGACGGGUAGCCGGCCUGAGAGGGUGUACGGCCACAUUGGGACUGAGAUACGGCCCAG